CGGACGGGUGAGUAACGCGUGGGUAACCUGCCCUGUACAGGGGGAGUAACAGCUGGAAACGGCUGCUAAUACCGCAUAAGCGCACGAGGAGACAUCUCCUUGUGUGAAAAACUCCGGUGGUACAGGAUGGGCCCGCGUCUGAUUAGCUGGUUGGCAGGGUAACGGCCUACCAAGGCAACGAUCAGUAGCCGGUCUGAGAGGAUGAACGGCCACAUUGGAACUGAGACACGGUCCAAACUCCUACGGGAGGCAGCAUG
rnacentral:rRNA from 1 species